AAACUAACAAGGAUUCCCCUAGUAACGGCGAGUGAAGUGGGAAAAGCUCAACUUUGUAAUCUGGCAGCUUCGCUGUCCGAGUUGUAGUCUCGAGAAGUGUUUUCCGCGUUGGAUCGUGUAUGAGUCUGUUGGAAUACAGCGUCAUAGAGGGUGAGAACCCCGUUCGUGACACGACUACCAGUGCUUUGUGAUACAUUUUCGAUGAGUCGAGUUGUUUGGGAAUGCAGCUCAAAUUGGGUGGUAAAUUCCAUCUAAAGCUAAAUAUUGGCGAGAGACCGAUAGCAAACAAGUACCGUGAGGGAAAGAUGAAAAGCACUUUGGAAAGAGAGUUAACAGUACGUGAAAUUGUUGAAAAGGAAACGUUUGAAGUCAGACGUGCGUUGUGCGAUUCAGCUCCGGUUCGCCGGAGUGUAUUUCGUACUAUUGCAGGCCAGCAUCGGUUUGGCGAGCCGGAUAAAGGUUAGAGAAAGGUAGCGGUCCAGGCCGUGUUAUAGUCUUUAACUGAAUACGGAUUGCUAGACCGAGGGACGCAGCGCGCCGCAAGGCAAAGCUUUCGGGCUUUUCGCGCUUAGGAUGCUGGUGAAAUGGCUUUAAAUGACCCGUCUUGA
rnacentral:rRNA from 1 species